GUGCUCACUUGGGCAGAACAUAUACUAAAAUUGGAAAGAUACAGAGAGGAUUAGCAUGGCCCCUGCCCAAGGAUGAUAUGCAAAUUUGUGAAGCAUUCCAUAUUUUU
rnacentral:snRNA from 1 species